GAUGAACGCUGGCGGCGUGCCUAACACAUGCAAGUCGAACGAAGCACCUUACCUGAUUCUUCGGAUGAAAGUUUGGUGACUGAGUGGCGGACGGGUGAGUAACGCGUGGGUAACCUGCCCUGUACAGGGGGAUAACAGCUGGAAACGGCUGCUAAUACCGCAUAAGCGCACGAGGAGACAUCUCCUUGUGUGAAAAACUCCGGUGGUACAGGAUGGGCCCGCGUCUGAUUAGCUGGUUGGCAGGGUAACGGCCUACCAAGGCAACGAUCAGUAGCCGGUCUGAGAGGAUGAACGGCCACAUUGGAACUGAGACACGGUCCAAACUCCUACGGGAGGCAGCAGUGGGGAAUAUUGCACAAUGGGGGAAACCCUGAUGCAGCAACGCCGCGUGAGUGAAGAAGUAUUGCGGUAUGUAAAGCUCUAUCAGCAGGGAAGAUAAUGACGGUACCUGACUAAGAAGCUCCGGCUAAAUACGUG
rnacentral:rRNA from 1 species